rnacentral:rRNA from 1 species
UGCAUUUCCGAUCCGCUAAUGAGAUUUCGUUACCAACAACUAAUAUCGUCACAGGAAAUGCACGGAUUAUUUUUAACUUAUCAUUUACAUACUUGUCCAGAGUGUAAGCGCACCGUGAAGGACGUGGGGUAAAAAUUAGUUUACAGAGAGAGUGACGUUCCAGGGCAACAACUCUUUCAUGCGGUUGGCAGGCCAGGUGUUGAUUACACUGAUCACGUGGCGUAGCCACGUUUCCGGCUCGAUUCCGUUAAGUUUUGCAGCUACCGAUCAGGCUGUACAUCACUGCCGCACUAUCGCUCGUCAUCUCAAAGUCCGGUCUCGUCAGCAGGAAGGUAUCAUUCUCUCCCGCCAUUUUUCCAGGGGCCCGGUCAGAUAAGUCCCUUUGUCUAUCGCUGACUCCUGACUCAUAACCCGGUUAGCAGAAUGCAGGGUCACCACC